AGCGAACGCUGGCGGCGGGCCUAACACGUGCAAGUCGAACGAUCCUUCGGGAUAGUGGCGGACGGGUGAGUAACACGUGGGAACGUGCCCUUUGGUUCGGAAUAACUCAGGGAAACUUGAGCUAAUACCGGAUGAGCCCUUCGGGGGAAAGAUUUAUCUCCAUUGGAGCGGCCCGCGUUGGAUUAGCUAGUUGGUGGGGUAAAGGCCCACCAAGGCUACGAUCCAUAGCUGGUCUGAGAGGAUGAUCAGCCACACUGGGACUGAGACACGGCCCAGACUCCUACGGGAGGCAGCAGUGGGGAAUCUUGCGCAAUGGGCGAAAGCCUGACGCAGCCAUGCCGCGUGAAUGAUGAAGGUCUUAGGAUUGUAAAAUUCUUUCACCGGGGACGAUAAUGACGGUACCCGGAGAAGAAGCCCCGGCUAACUUCGUGCCAGCCGCCGCCGUAAGAC
rnacentral:rRNA from 1 species